AGAAAGGUGGCGCAGUGGUUAGCACUUCUGCCUUACAACAAGAAGGUCAUGGGUUUGAAUCUGGCCAUGGGGCCUCUCUG